rnacentral:RNase_P_RNA from 1 species
CCAGAGGGUCGGGCGGCCGCGGGUGCGCAAGCACGCGAGGAAAGUCCGGGCUCCACGGAACCACGGUGCCGGGUAACGCCCGGCGGGCCAGCUUGCUGGUUCAGGGAAAGUGCCACAGAGAGCAGACCGCCCACUGACCCCGGACUAAAUCCGGGGUUGAGGGCAAGGGUGAAAGGGUGCGGCAAGAGCGCACCGCGCGACGGGCAACCGAAGCGGCACGGCAAACCCCACCGGGAGCAAGACCGAAUAGGGGCGGCAUAUGGGCCUGGUUCCGGCCCGUCGCCCGGGUUGGUUGCUUGAGCGGCGGAGCAAUCCGUCGCCUAGAGGAAUGGUCGCACAUCGCGUUUCGGCGCGAGGACAGAACCCGGCUUAUAGACCCUCUGGCAAA